AUUGAACGCUGGCGGCAUGCUUUACACAUGCUAGUCGAACGGCAGCGCGGGCUUCGGCCUGGCGGCGAGUGUCGAACGUGUGAGUAAUACAUCUGAACGUGCCCAGUAGUAGGGGAUAGCUCCUCGAAAGCCGUGUUAAUACCGCAUACGACCGGAGGGUGUUAGCGGGGGAGCUUCGUACCUCGCGCUAUUGGAGCGGUCGAUGGCAGAUUAGCUAGUUGGUGGGGUAAAGGCCUACCAACGCGAACAUGUGUAGGUUGUCUGAGAGGACGAAUAGCCACACUGCAACUGCAAAACGUCCAAGGCUGCUGCGGAAGGCAGCAGUGGGCAAUUUAGGACAGUGGCCGAAAGCAUGAUCCAACACUGCCGCGUGUGUGGUGGACACCUUCGGGUUGUAAAGCACUCUUGGCGGGAACGAAACGCACUAGGCUAAGACCACGGUUGGAUGACGGUACCCGGCGAAUAAGCACAGGCUAACUACGUG
rnacentral:rRNA from 1 species